rnacentral:rRNA from 1 species
CCCAGACUCCUACGGGAGGCAGCAGUGGGGAAUAUUGCACAAUGGGGGAAACCCUGAUGCAGCGACGCCGCGUGAGCGAUGAAGUAUUUCGGUAUGUAAAGCUCUCUCAGCAGGGAAGAAGAUGACGGUACCUGACUAAGAAGCCCCGGCUAACUACGUGCCAGCAGCCGCGGUAAUACGUAGGGGGCAAGCGUUAUCCGGAUUUACUGGGUGUAAAGGGAGCGUAGACGGCGAUGCAAGUCUGAAGUGAAAGGCGGGGACCCAACCUCCGGACUGCUUUGGAAACUGUAUGGCUGGAGUGCAGGAGAGGUAAGUGGAAUUCCUAGUGUAGCGGUGAAAUGCGUAGAUAUUAGGAGGAACACCAGUGGCGAAGGCGGCUUACUGGACUGUAACUGACGUUGAGGCUCGAAAGCGUGGGGAGCAAACAGGAUUAGAUACCCCGGUACG